rnacentral:tRNA from 1 species
GGGCGGUUGGCUCAGAUGGUUAGAGCGCGCGGUUCACAUCCGCGAGGUCAUAGGUUCGAUUCCUAUACCGCCCACCU